CCUACGGGUGGCAGCAGUAGGGAAUCUUCCACAAUGGACGAAAGUCUGAUGGAGCAACGCCGCGUGCGUGAAGAAGGGUUUCGGCUCGUAAAGCUCUGUUGGUAGUGAAGAACGUUAGAGGUAGUAACUGGCCUCUAUUUGACGGUAAUUUCUUAGAAAGUCACGGCUAACUAAGUGCCAGCAGCCGCGGUAAUACGUAGGUGGCAAGCGUUGUCCGGAUUUAUUGGGCGUAAAGCGAGUGCAGGCGGUUCAAUAAGUCUGAUGGGAAAGCCUCCGGCUCAACCGGAGAAUUGCAUCAGAAACUGGUGAACUAGAGUGCAGAAGAGGAGAGUGGAACUCCAUGUGUAGCGGUGGAAUGCGUAGAUAUAUGGAAGAACACCAGUGGCGAAGGCGGCUCUCUGGUCUGCAACUGACGCUGAGGCUCGAAAGCAUGGGGAGCGAACAGGAUUAGAUACCCGGGUAGUC
rnacentral:rRNA from 1 species